rnacentral:rRNA from 1 species
AGGGUUUGAUCCUGGCUCAGAUUGAACGCUGGCGGCAGGCCUAACACAUGCAAGUCGAACGGUAACAUUUCUAGCUUGCUAGAAGAUGACGAGUGGCGGACGGGUGAGUAAUACUUAGGAACAUGCCUUUGGGUGGGGGAUAACCAUUGGAAACGAUGGCUAAUACCGCAUAACGUCUACGGACCAAAGGGGGCUUCGGCUCCCGCCUAAAGAGUGGCCUAAGCGAGAUUAGCUUGUUGGUGAGGUAAAAGCCCACCAAGGCGACGAUCUCUAGCUGUUCUGAGAGGAAGAUCAGCCACACUGGGACUGAGACACGGCCCAGACUCCUACGGGAGGCAGCAGUAGGGAAUAUUGCACAAUGGGGGAAACCCUGAUGCAGCCAUGCCGCGUGUGUGAAGAAGGCCUUCGGGUUGUAAAGCACUUUCAGUUGUGAGGAAAAGUUGGUGGUUAAUACCCAUCAGCCGUGACGUUAACAACAGAAGAAGCACCGGCUAACUCCGUGCCAGCAGCCGCGGUAAUACGGAGGGUGCGAGCGUUAAUCGGAAUUACUGGGCGUAAAGCGCACGCAGGCGGUUUGUUAAGCUAGAUGUGAAAGCCCCGCGCUCAACGUGGGAGGGUCAUUUAGAACUGGCAGACUAGAGUCUUGGAGAGGGGAGUGGAAUUCCAGGUGUAGCGGUGAAAUGCGUAGAGAUCUGGAGGAACAUCAGUGGCGAANGCGACUCCCUGGCCAAAGACUGACGCUCAUGUGCGAAAGUGUGGGUAGCGAACAGGA